UGGGGUAGAGAUGUAGCAUCAAACAUUCAUGGAUGUCCAGGGAGCGCGGGCCCAUAGGAUGCUGGCCAGAGGUACUAGGAAGGCGCAGGAGCCGGACGAGGAUGCAUCUUCUUUCCCUGCCUUGGAAAGGGGCUGUUCACAAUGUAUGCUGGACCAUGGUGAGUCCUGAGGUGGUCACAACAGAAGCUUGCCUUGGGCCCAUCUGUCUCCUGCUGCUGUCCACAAGAUGGAGAAGGCGGAAGCAACCUGAGGAGGCCUCUUUGUCUGUAAGGAUAGAAGGUCCAUUGUGGAGGGGAGAGAUACAGGAGCUAUAUAGGCGAGGCUCUACCAGCCCUGCAUCUCUUAUCUCCAGAAUUCUUUUACAGAAAAGAAAAAUAAACUUUUAUCUGGUUUACGCCACCACUGUUUCUGGCCUCUGUUACUAGCUGCCAAAUGGAAAUCUUAACUGAUAGAGAAGUCCUUGAGAGACUUGAACGUGGGACGGGAUUCUGCCCAUUUGGUGGCUCUGCAGGGGUGGAUUUGGGGGAGUGGAGCAUCCUGGAGGGCACAUGGAGGUAAAGAUGGCUUGGCAGGUGGGGCAGACAGUGAGAAAACACCUCUCAAGGGUCACUGAUUUUCUUUUCCCCCAGGACACCUCUGCUGAAGUACUGUUAUACAGUGGCUAUUUAAACAUCUAUUGAUGGAGUAAUUUGAAGUCUGCUAUUGUCAGCUCUCCUCAAAGCUGGGCCAUUGAGUAGAUGGGUGCUCUUUGUGCCCAAAGAAACAGCAGCAGGUGAAGGGAUGGAGCAGGAAAUGGUAUCCGCAUCAUAGGAAAGUCAAGCCAACUCCCUGGAGGCAGCUCCAGGGAAAGCAAGUUUUGUUACAUGUGAUUGUCUAAGAAGAUACAUUCGAAGUCUAAAGAAGAUUGCUUUUAACUGGGUAGCAAUG
rnacentral:lncRNA from 1 species